UUUUCUUUCCUUUCUUUCUACCUUUUAGUCUAGCCAACUUUCCAUCACCAUUCUUCCGGCCACAGCUCCGUCGUUAACUUCCGUCGCCAUUGUCGUUGGUACAAACAAACCCUAAGAGAGAGAAAAUGUAUGUAGGAAUGAAAUGAGAGAAGUUAUUGUUGAGAACGGGUAAGGAGGAGGGGGGUUUUAUAGAAGCGAAGAAGCGGAACCGUUUGGGUUUGAAUUGGAGUUUGGUAAUGGGGCUUGGUUUUCGGGUGGGUAGAAAGGGGAAUUGAGAGUGGAGGUUUGGGAAAGGGGGUUGAAGUUGGAGGUAAUUACGGUGUGUGCCAGUGUAGGUGGAUGAAAUGCGUGCGACGUGGUGUGCGGUUAUGGUGCCACACAUGAGAGUCCUGCCUAUAAAAUAAAAGUUUUGUUUUACGUGAUUUUUUUUUAUUAAAAAUGUGUAUAUAUAUAACCGCUCAAAAUGGAUAAUAAAAUAUAAUAACAUUUAUGUAUGUGUGUUAUCUUAUCUACUUUUAAGGAUAGUGAAAACUGAAAAAAUGAUAUAGAAAUCUAACGGUCUCCAUUAAUCAAAAAGCUUUUUUGUUAUUUGUUGUUAAUCAUCAAAUACUUAAAGCACAAAGUCGGUGCCCUCGUCACCGACCAAACACGUUUUAGUCCUCCACGUUGUGCCAUACUCCACCAGAUUUUAAUAAAAUACAUUAUGUAUUUAAAACUAAUGAAAGAAUUUGUGUAAAAAUUUAGCCUCAUUGUCAUUGCAACUUUUUUUUUGUUUCAACAUUUUUUAAAAGAGAUAAAAUUUUUACAUUAACUAGGGUGUUGCACCCGCGCUUCAAUAAUCCGGAAACUCUUCUUUCCUACCAUCACCCUUAACCGGUUGCCACACCUUCUCCUCCUUUCUUGGAAUUUAUUUACCGUCGACAAAUCUAGCCGGUACAAUAAAUAGUUUGUAAGAACCUAUCCAGACGUCUUUUAGCGAUGAUUCUAAGUCAUCCAUGUUUCUACCUUUACCAAACGUAACGAAGCCAAAUAACCGAUCAUACUUCAUGGCUAUAUACGUACCUUGGACGUCACCGUACUCUUUGAAAACCUAACCAGAUCAGCAGACGCACACCCCUGAGUAAGAUUGGAAAUGAAGAACUUCACCCCUGGAUCCUUCUCCUUCUCGUUGUGUUGAUCCCGAUUAUUGUCAAAGUGUUGUAAAUAUUUUUAACUGAUGUAGUUACUUUUAGAAAAUAUACUAUAGUGCUUU
rnacentral:lncRNA from 1 species